rnacentral:rRNA from 1 species
ACUCCUACGGGAGGCAGCAGUAAGGAAUAUUGGACAAUGGCCGCAAGGCUGAUCCAGCCAUCCAGCGUGCAGGAAGAAGGCCCUACGGGUUGUAAACUGCUUUUGUCAGGGAAUAAACCUGUGGAUUUACUCCGCAGCUGAAGGUACCUGAAGAAUAAGCACCGGCUAACUCCGUGCCAGCAGCCGCGGUAAUACGGAGGGUGCGAGCGUUAUCCGGAAUUACUGGGUUUAAAGGGUGCGUAGGCGGCUAUGUAAGUCAGGAGUGAAAGUUUGCGGCUCAACCGUAAAAUUGCUUUUGAUACUGCAUGGCUGGAAUCAGGAUGAGGUCAGCGGAAUGUGGCAUGUAGCGGUGAAAUGCAUAGAUAUGCCAUAGAACACCAAUUGCGAAGGCAGCUGGCUAGACCUGUAUUGACGCUGAGGCACGAAAGCGUGGGGAGCGAACAGGAUUAGAUACCCUGGUAGUCCACGCCCUAAACGAUGCUUACUCGACGUAUGAAGCUUGUCUUUGUGCGUCCAAGGGAAACCGUUAAGUAAGCCACCUGGGGAGUACGACCGCAAGGUUGAAACUCAAAGGAAUUGACG